rnacentral:rRNA from 1 species
AUUGAACGCUGGCGGCAGGCCUAACACAUGCACGUCGAACGCGUGGCGGACGGGUGAGUAAUGUCUGGGAAACUGCCUGAUGGAGGGGGAUACCUACUGGAAACGGUAGCUACUACCGCAUACCAUCAGCUGUGCCCAGAUGGGAUUAGCUUGGUGGUGGUGUAACGGCUCACCAAGGCGACGAUCCCUAGCUGGUCUGAGAGGAUGACCAGACACACGGGAACAGAGACACGUUCCAGAAGCCUACGGGAGGCAGCAGUGGGGAAUAGUGCACAAUGGGCGCAAGCCUGAGUCAGCCAUGCCGCGGGUAUGAAGAAGGCCUUCGGGUUGGAAAGUACGUUCAGCGGGGAGGCGUUACCCGCAGAAGAAGCACCGGCUAACUCCGUGCCAGCAGCCGCGGUAAUUC